UGCAGUAGAACGCUGAAGACUUUAGCUUGCUAAAGUUGGAAGAGUUGCGAACGGGUGAGUAACGCGUAGGUAACCUGCCUACUAGCGGGGGAUAACUAUUGGAAACGAUAGCUAAUACCGCAUAACAGCAUUUAACCCAUGUUAGAUGCUUGAAAGGAGCAAUUGCUUCACUAGUAGAUGGACCUGCGUUGUAUUAGCUAGUUGGUGAGGUAACGGCUCACCAAGGCGACGAUACAUAGCCGACCUGAGAGGGUGAUCGGCCACACUGGGACUGAGACACGGCCCAGACUCCUACGGGAGGCAGCAGUAGGGAAUCUUCGGCAAUGGGGGCAACCCUGACCGAGCAACGCCGCGUGAGUGAAGAAGGUUUUCGGAUCGUAAAGCUCUGUUGUAAGAGAAGAACGUGUGUGAGAGUGGAAAGUUC
rnacentral:rRNA from 1 species